rnacentral:rRNA from 1 species
AGAGUUUGAUCCUGGCUCAGGACGAACGCUGGCGGCGUGCCUAAUACAUGCAAGUCGAGCGGAUCGAACGGGAGCUUGCUUCCGUUCGGUUAGCGGCGGACGGGUGAGUAACACGUGGGCAACCUGCCCGUAAGACCGGGAUAACUUCGGGAAACCGGAGCUAAUACCGGAUAACACCGAAGACCGCAUGGUCUUUGGUUGAAAGACGGCUUUGGCUGUCACUUACGGAUGGGCCCGCGGCGCAUUAGCUAGUUGGUGAGGUAACGGCUCACCAAGGCGACGAUGCGUAGCCGACCUGAGAGGGUGAUCGGCCACACUGGGACUGAGACACGGCCCAGACUCCUACGGGAGGCAGCAGUAGGGAAUCUUCCGCAAUGGACGAAAGUCUGACGGAGCAAC